AUUGAACGCUGGCGGCAUGCCUUACACAUGCAAGUCGAACGGUAACAGGUUAAGCUGACGAGUGGCGAACGGGUGAGUAAUGUAUCGGAACGUGCCCAGUCGUGGGGGAUAACUGCUCGAAAGAGCAGCUAAUACCGCAUACGACCUGAGGGUGAAAGCGGGGGAUCGCAAGACCUCGCGCGAUUGGAGCGGCCGAUAUCAGAUUAGGUAGUUGGUGAGGUAAAGGCUCACCAAGCCGACGAUCUGUAGCUGGUCUGAGAGGACGACCAGCCACACUGGGAGUGAGACACGGCCCAGACUCCGACGGGAGGCAGCAGUGGGGAAUUUUGGACAAUGGGCGCAAGCCUGAUCCAGCCAUGCCGCGUGCGGGAAGAAGGCCUUCGGGUUGUAAACCGCUUUUGUCAGGGAAGAAAAGGUUCUGGCUAAUACCUGGGACUCAUGACGGUACCGGAAGAAUAAGCACCGGCUAACUACGU
rnacentral:rRNA from 1 species